CCCUUAGAUGUCCUGGGCCGCACGCGCGCUACACUGAGUGUCUGAGAUACGAGUCUGCCUGGUCCGGCAAGGUCUAGGUAAUCGCUAAAAGACACAUCAUGCUUGGGAUAGAUUAUUGCAAAUAUUAAUCUUGAACGAGGAAUUCCUAGUAAGCGCAAGUCAACAGCUUGCGUUGAUUACGUCCCUGCCCUUUGUACACACCGCCCGUCGCUACUACUGAUUGGAUGUUUAAGCGAGGUUCUCGAACUGCUAGCGACUUAGCUUCGGUGAGGUCGCAGUGUGGGAAGUGAACCUAGCUUUGGUGUCUAGAGGAAGUAAAAUUCGUAACA
rnacentral:rRNA from 1 species